UAUAUACAUCAGCACCGUUGGCUGCAAUCAGCUGAGUGCAGAUUCCUGCUCAUCAUGGGCUCCGCUCACUGUUAAUAUUCCUGUUAUUGUAGCCUGAAUCCUAGGUUUAUUUUUAUUUUCAUUAUCUCCUUCGUUCAUUUGGAAUAGUUUGAGGUCUGACCCGCUCUGUGAUCGAUCUGAGAUCACAUUCCUGUUUUUCCUUCAUUGGAACGGAUGCUGAGUAUGCUGGGAAAGGACUGAAGCAUGAUGGAUCCUGAGGAGGCAGAGCUCCAGAAUGACUACCGCUACCGUAGUUAUGCAGCUGUCAUCGAAAAGGCGCUGCGCAACUUUGAGUCUUCGAGCGAGUGGGCCGACCUCAUCUCUUCUCUCGGAAAACUCAAUAAGGCUCUCCAGAGUAAUCUGAAGUACUCUCUGCUGCCUCGGCGGCUGAUCAUUGGGAAACGGUUGGCACAGUGCCUGCACCCUGCCUUGCCCAGUGGCGUCCAUCUUAAAGCGCUGGAGACCUAUGAGGUCAUCUUCAAAAUCAUCGGCACAAAAUGGUUGGCCAAAGACCUCUUCAUUUACAGUUCAGGACUGUUCCCUCUGCUGGCUCAUGCAUCCAUGUCAGUGAAGCCGGCUCUGUUGACUCUGUAUGAGCGUUACUUCCUGCCCCUGCAGAAAGCUCUGCUGCCCAGCCUGCAGGCCUUCAUCAUGGGUUUGCUGCCCGGCCUAGAGGAGGGCCUUGAGGUUUAUGACAGAACGGAUGCUCUGUUGUUGAAGUUGUCAAUGUUGGUGGGUCAGUCAGUGUUUUAUGGAGCUCUGUGGGGGUCUGUGCUCGUGUCUCCACUCGUGCGCCUCCCAGCUUCUCUUUUCAUAGUCACACACUUCGACCGCAUGGCCUCCAGCUGCGAGCAGAAAUACAUGCUGGGCACUGACCAUAGACUAACUGUGAAGGCGAUGUGUCUCUCUUUGCAGGACACUAAUGUACUGGUCCAGAGAAACAUGCUGGAGAUUCUUCUCUACUUCUUUCCCUUUGCAACAUGUCUGGAUCCUGAGAAGAGUGCUAUCCCCCUGAAACGAGAAGAGAUGAUCACAGUGGUGUCUGCUGCCUCUCUUACUCUGCUCAGGAGGGACAUGUCACUCAACCGCCGCCUCUAUGCAUGGCUUCUAGGCCUAGACAUUAAAGGGGGCAUGGUGGCUCCAGAUAUGAGCCUGUAUACGACAGUAGAAGAGCAUACAGCAUACUACUUCAACACACACUCCAGAGAACAACUGGUGCAGGCCCUAGUUAAUAUCCUGCAGCAGAAGGACAUUGAGAAAGAUCUUGACAACAUUUCAGACUACCUCAGACCAUUCCGCAUCAUCAUAAGUUUACUGGACAAAUCAGAGAUUGGUCCGUUAGUGCUGUCUGAUGUGCUGUUAGAGGUGAUCAGGGCAUUUUACAGUUACUGCAGAGAGAUGCUGGGGGAGGACUCUCUUAACUCCAGUCUCUCCGGCAACCAGCUCAGCAGUAAAAUCAAAGAGAACAAAAACGCUUCUGAGAUUAUAAAGACAGUCAAUAUGUUGGUGGGGGCCAUAAGCAGUGAAUAUCUGUGGGACUACGUGACCAGACGCUUCCAGACAUGCCUCAGUGUAUUAAAUGACCCAGCGGGGAUGCCUCGCUCUAAAGCCUGGAGUCCUCCUCCAUCUGUAAUGGAGCUCUCCACCCUCAUCAUUUUCCUCCUGGAUGUUAUUCCUUUGGAGCUUUAUGCUGAGAUCCAGACGCAGUACCUGCCACAGAUGCUGGGCAGCAUGCUACAGUCUAUAUGCGCCUCUAUGGCCUCUCUCAGCUUGCCAGAGCUCACACAGGCUCUGAGAGCAUGUUUUAAAGUGCUCAGUAAGAUCCAGAUGCCAGUGACUUAUAUGGACAUGGAGGUGGAGUCAAAGACACAGAACAUGGAGAAAAUGCAGCAGGUGAUGGCAGAGACCAAAAAAGAGGAUGCUGCUGAGCAGGCUGGUGUUAAUAAUGACGAUAGGCUGGCAGAAGAGGAAGUGAGUAUGAAUGAACAGGCUGCAGAUGAGGCAGGACCUGAACCGGCCGUGUUUCCGCCCCUGCGCUCUGAAGACAGUGGAUUGGGCCUUAGUGCCUCACCCUCUGAACAGCAGCUCCUUCCUGGCCAUAAUUCAUCAAAUUCAGGCGUGUGUACAGAUGCAGAGAACAUCUGGAGGAAAGCAGGGAACGUGGAAAAUAUGUCCAAAUGCGUACAGGACAUACUGGCAUCUCUCAUCACAAGGCACCUGUUGAUGGUGAUGGAUCCAGAGAAGGAGAAAGGCCAGGAGGAGACCACUCAGCCUGAGUCUCCGCGGGGCAGGAAGCGCUCUCCGUCUGGGAGCAAGGGCAGCCGAGAGUUGGGCCUGAUCAAAGACAGACUGGCAGAGUUCUUCACCCCCAGCAAGCUGCGAAUGCAGCCCCAGGAGGGUUGUGUGGAGGUUGUGGAGAGAGGUGCUGGGGCUGCAGGGCUACAGUGGCUGUCGGGGUUUCAGUCACGAGGAAAAGCUGAGAUCACUGAGGCCUGCCGACAAGCCUUUACAGCUGCAUGCCAUUUGCUACUGGAGUGCACCACUUUCCCUGUCUACUACACAGAGGAGGAGAGCCAAGAGCUCCACAGCAGCAUGUUCAACAGCACCACAAGCAGUGAAGAAAGCACCCUUCCUGAGUGGCUGAGAUCCUUAAUGACGUUAUGUUGCAUUUCUAAAGACUACCAGGUUCAGCAUGUGGCGAUUUCCUCCCUUCUUGAGCUGAUAAACCACUCUCAGUCUCUAGCGCUAGUCAUCCAAGACAAGAACCAGCGCUAUAAGAGCUCUGAGGCCAACCCUCUGAGUGGACAGCUGCAGAUGGUCACUCUGCCCCCCAUUUACCCAUCAGUGCUGAAAACCAUGGAGCUGUGCACAGACUUCUAUCAGCGUGUAGCUCAGGUGCUGUGGGCUCAGUUGGACACUGAGCGCAGGGAGCAUCACAUCUCCUGUGUGGAGCUCUUCUAUCGACUGCACUGUCUGGCUCCAUCUGCCUCCAUCUGUGAAGACAUCAUCUGCAUGGCUUUACUCAGCAGAGACAAGGUUGUGCGUCUGGAAGCUCUCCACAGAUUCUCUGUUUUGUGGCACCUGACACGAGAAGUCCAGACAAAUCGCAGCACUUCUCUGAACCGCUCCUUUGACAGGUCUCUGUUUGUGGUGUUAGACAGUCUAAAUAGCCAGGAUGGCAGUGUGAGUGCAGCAGGGCAGAGCUGGCUGGUGCGGGCUCUCUCUCUCAGUGACGUAGUUCGCAUUCUGGAACCCGUUCUGCUCCUGCUACUGGACCCAAAGACUCAGAGAACAGCCAUUCAGAGUGUCAAGCACAACCUUUCAGUUGGCAAUUUUAGUGCAUUAAGCUGCAGAGACCGGUCUGGCACAAAGAGCAGUGGAGAUAGCAUGGCAAUGCCGGAGGUCAGCCUGCUGAGUCACUUCAUUGUCGUAGACCGAGAAGCCCUGUGGCUCGACCUGGAGCGUGACCCGGAACUUCGUGAAACACCGUCAAACUCCCCUGCCUUGUCCCGUAGCGAGAGUGAGGAGACUGAAGGAGAGGACGAGGAGCCAGAUGUGGUAGAGGAAGAAGAAAGCGAGCACACAGAGUCAGCUGAUGCCAGUGGUGCCCAGAACUCAACAGAAAACUCCAGUUCAGGCUCUGCCUCUUACCUACAAGUGGGCGUUGUCAAUGGCAACAUAGGGGAGGUGGGUGUAGCCAAUGGCUUGCUGAGGGUGGACUCAGACCGCACCCAGGCCUCUGAUUCAUUAUCCAGUGAUGAGGAUGAUGGGCAGCUGGAAGCCCUGGCCAAGUCCCGCCUCUUAAAGCGGCAACGCGAGAAACAAGAAGCGAUUGAUUCGUUGUUCCGCCACGUCCUGCUCUACCGACAGCCGUACGAGUUCAGCAGAGUCCUGUACGCUUUCUCCGUGGUGGAGACGCUGGUCAGUAGUGGAUCGACACCAUUUGUGGAGGCGCUGUCCAGCACAGCUCUGGACUGCAGCUCCACUGCCCACCUCAACCUCAUCCAGAAUCUUCUACAGAGACAUCGGCAGGCCCAGGAGGGGAGCGGAUUCUAUGGCCCUCUCCAAACCUCCACUCCUCCAGAACCCAAGACCACCGGCCCAGACCAGCCACCCACCUCUCCUCUUUCUUCACCCUUCUCCACCCCCUUCUCCUCUUCUACAAUGUACCUCCUUGAGCUACUCACAUCCCUCUGCCUCCGCUUCUUGCGAUCCCACUUCCCAUCUUAUGCUACCAUAAAUGCCCGUCAACUACAGGCGAACCGAGAAGUGCAGGUGAAGAGUGUGGAGGUGAUGACUGCACUGGUGACACAGCUGGUGACGGUGGCUCAGCAGGCCCAGGCUGGUGAAACAGGUGGCAUGGGCAGUCUAGAGACCAUCCGGAACCUUUUGUGGGGAUGUAAGGUGCAGAAGUAUGUCCUCCUCUCACUCUCUGCCUCGAUGUACACCUGCCAGCGUGCGGAGGCACCUGACCGAAACACAGCCCAUGAGGAAGAGCAUGGGGAUGAUGGUGGGGAAAUAUCAGAGGAGAGCCUGGUCCAUUUUGGAAAAGAUGGAAGCUGGGCUGAACACCCGCUCCAGAUCGCCCUGCUGAAGCUCCUCAAGGUUCUUAUUGUGCUGGAGCACUGUGUGUCUCUUCCACUGUCCAAAACCCAAGGGGACAACAACCACAUCCUCCAGUCCAGAGGGGACGCCCCAUCCUCAGCCCUGGCCCGAGAGUGGCAGACAGCCAUGAUGUUCCAGCAGUCCAUCAAGGCCGUUCGCUAUGUGGCCAGCCAGCCCAUCACGGCGCAGGGCAUGUUUGUGUCAGCCGCAGCCCGAGCACUGUGCCCGCAGUACGGCUUUGCUAUGCAUCCAGCCUGGGUGGCACUGCUCUGCGGGGUGCUGCCAUUCCUGGGCCGCUCGCUGGCCAUCAUUGUGGCCCCUAUCAUCGCUCAGAUUUGCAGGAACCUGGAUGAGCUGGUUAAGCAGCAUGAGCAUGAUGGCAUCAAGGGUACUCACAGCAGUAACCUGAAAAGGGAGAAUAUUGCACCUGACUAUCCACUCACUAUACUGGAGGGGCUGACCACUAUCACACAUUACUGCCUCCUGGAACAUAAGAAGUCUGCAGGCUGUGAUGCUACAGACAUGCGAAAUGCAUGCAGUGCCAUUCUGGAGGAGUUCCCACAUAUGAUCAGCACCAUGGCUAUGCUAUGGGGUGUAGUGAAGGGUGCAGACUCCAGCCACAGCAGCAGAUCAUCCCCCACCUCUGUCUAUUUCAAAAGCACAAAGAUCCUGAAGCAGAAGGUUUUGGCGUUUCUGACUCCACUGACUCAGCAGUACGGACCGCAGGUCAUGGCAUCUGUGGCUGCUGUGUGGAACAGUAGGCGAAGCCGAAAGAAACGCUCAAAAAACAAGAUCCUGCCAGUUGCCAGUGAUUCCCAGAUGACCAUAGUGGACUUGGUGAAGUCACUGAAUACACUCCACACUGACGCUAUUUUACAUCUAAUCAAGGAAGUGGUGAAGAAGCCCCACCAGAUCAAAGGAGACCAGCAAAAGCCAACUUUAGUGGAUGUUCCUAUGCUGCAGUUCUGUUAUGCCUACGUUCAGAGUCUUCCCGCUCAGGCCCUUCAGGAGAACAUCAUGCCUCUCCUCUUUCUGCUCAGAGAGUCUGUGCAGCUCAACCUUGCCCCACCUGGGCACUUCCUGCUCCUGGGAAUCCUGAAUGACUUUGUUAAUAGGCUCCCUAACAUGGACAACAAAAGAGAUUGUAGAGACCUGCAGGAAGUGACCCAGCGUAUCCUGGAGGCAGUAGGAGGUGUGGCUGGCUCAUCUCUGGAGCAGACCAGCUGGCUGAGCCGUAACCUGGAAGUGAAAGCUCAGCCUCAGGUCAGCCUGCAGGAGGAUGAAGAGGAGCCUGAAGGCAAUGACUUCUAUGAGUCAGUUGGCCAGGGCAGUGCUAUGGUGUCAUCCUCAGCUCCAUCUGUGUUUAGUGUACAAGCACUGGCCCUGCUGGCUGAGGUACUGGCCCCUCUGCUGGAUAUGGUGUAUCGCAGUGAUGAGAAGGAGAAAGCUGUUCCUCUCAUCUCUCGCCUCAUGUAUUAUGUCUUUCCUUACCUGAAAAACCACAGUGCCUAUAACAUGCCCAGUUUUAGUGCGGGGGCACAGUUAUUGAGCAGUCUCAGUGGGUAUGCGUACACUAAACGCGCCUGGAAGAAAGAAGUACUGGAGCUCUUUAUGGACCCUCUGUUCUUCACCAUGGAAUCAUCUUGCACCUGCCACUGGAAGUCCAUCAUAGAUCAUCUGCUUACUCAUGAGAAGACCAUGUUCAAGGAUUUGAUGAGCAUGCAGAGCAGUUCUCUGAAGCUGUUUAACAGUGCUGAGCAGAAGCCCAUGUUGCUUAAGCGCCAGGCCUUCGCCAUGUUCAGUGGAGAGACAGACCAGUACCACCUCUACCUGCCUCUUAUACAAGAGCGUCUGACUGAGAACCUGCGGGUGGGGCAGACUCCAGCAAUGGUGGCCCAGAUGUUCCUGAUGUUCCGUGUUCUGCUGCUGAGGAUUUCUCCACAGCACCUCACCUCCCUUUGGCCAAUCAUGGUCACUGAACUGAUUCGUAUUUAUACCAGGCUUGAGAAGACUCUGCUGGAGGACAAAGAAACUUCCAAGAAUAAACGGGGCAGUCAAGAGAAGAAUGGUCUCCUGAUGUUUCCGCAAGCGGAGCUGGACAUGUAUCUUUCGGCCUGCAAGUUCCUGGACACUGCUGUGUCCUUCCCCCCUGAGCGCAUGCCUCUCUUCCAGUUGUAUCGCUGGGCAUUUGUGCCAGAAGUAGAUGUGGAGAGUUAUGAGGGGCCUGGGACCACUCUUUUGGAGGGAGAACAGGAGUGUAAACCUCAUGUGGUCAGAAUACUGGAAGGACUUCAUCACCGUUAUGGGGAGCUGAAUGGAACGGUGGGGGAAUCCAUAUCAGAGUGUGUGGAGUUCCCACUGCUUACUCUGCGUUCGCUUUCAUCCAUCACUCAGCUGGUGCCCUUCUUCCAGACUCUCUGCUGCUCCUUCAGUUGCUCAGACCGCUCCCCUCAGCCCACCGCUGAUUACCCCCCACCCAGCUCCAGCAGGGUGCUGCAGCAGCUGGAGCUCAUUACUGAGGGAGAGUUUCUGGAUGGUUUAGACUCAUAGGGACUUGGCAGAAAUCUGACGGCCUGGACUUUCCCCCUAAAAACUCCUGAAACGAGUGCUCUGUUUUAGCACUUGAUGUUUUAAUUCUUCAUUACUCGAUUGAGUGUGAAGUGUGGUGAACGUCCAGAACGUUGUAGCAUGAUCGUAAACAGUAUGUCACAUUCCGUGCAGUGGUGUCUGUUUAUUUUUGUAGGCAUAGUGAACUCUGAGGGAAUCAGGAAAAUUCUGUUGUUGUAAAGACUGAGUAAUUGCUUUUAAUGUGAAUACUAUUUAAUUUAAUAAAGAUAAAAAUGAUAUAGGUUUAAUAUUGUGCGCUAUAAAAGUUUUAUUUCAGCCAAAUUUGCCCCUAAAUUCAAAGUUUAGUCUCAGAGAAAUUAAAAAAGUCAAGCAGCAUUUAGAAUUGACCAAUUUUAAGGCAAAUUUCAGUGUCACUGUUUGGUGACAAGGCUUCAUUUUGCACAGCAUGCAACAUUGGCCAUUUGAAGCAUGAAUGUAACUUAAAUCUUGGUGCCAUUAUGGGAACACUGUUUUUCUCUUCUAAUAUUCUAUAACUAUGUCUUCUUAUUGAAUUUGAACAGGUAUGCCUACCAUCCGCUCUUAUUCCAGAAUGGAAAGCACAAACUUUCAGAGGCCUUGCUUUCACUCAUGGUUUCCACUGCAAAUCUACAGUACAGCUAGAUUGAAACUAACCUGAUGUUGUGCAGCGUUCAGGAGGUGGGAAAAAAGAUCUUUAAUCGUUAAUAUUCACAUUUUAUAGAAGCUCUAGUGUAAACUGAUUGAUGCAUGACAUCAUUCAAAUUUUUUUAAACAGAUGUGAAGGUGCGUUCUGUGCAAUUCAGCCUGAGGUGAGGAAUAUUUUAAUGUUCAUAAAUCAUAAAGAAGGCAAUAUCCUAAAUCCUGGAGAAAUGGCUACCACAUAUCAAGAUUAUAUAAAUUUUUGAAAAAUGUUUGAGCUUUCGAAGUGCGAAGUUCAGGUGAAAGUAAAGUAAAGCAUGGCUAAUCCAGUCAUUACAUGAACAUUAUAAUUUUGUUUAUGCUGAAAAGCAGAUACAACUGUAAAAACAAGAAGAUCUGCAACUUGUGAAUGUAUGUAGCAAUAGUUAACACAUUGUCUGAUUAGCCAGUAGCAUAAUACCAAUUUCCACUAGUGCCUCUGGAAAUUUGCGGUGUUGUUGGUGCCAAUCUAGCAGUAUUAUUUCACUUUUGAUGCCAAUUCUAAAUUACACAUGAGUAUGUGAAGCUUGUGAAAGACAUACAAGGAACAUUUUCUUAAAUCUCUCUGCUGUUUUAUUGUGCCUCCUUCUGUAAAGGUGUGAAUUUGAAACCAGUUUGUGAAUAUUAUUCAAGCAACCUGUUAGCCUAUUAGCUAUCUUCAGGCUUUCCCUCCUGAAAACACCAGUGCAGACCAGCAUUAAUUCCAUGCUGAUCUAAGAUGGUUUAAGUUGGUCGGGUGCUGGUUUAGCAGGUCACCCAGCCUAAACAUGCUGAUUGACCAUCAUAUCA